GCUCUCGUAGUCUAAUGGUUAGGACGUCAGAUUCCUAUGAUUUAUCAUCUGGAGGCUGCGGGUUCGAGUCCCGCCGAGAGUA